rnacentral:rRNA from 1 species
GAUGAACGCUGGCGGCGUGCCUAAUACAUGCAAGUCGAGCGAACAGACGAGGAGCUUGCUCCUCUGACGUUAGCGGCGGACGGGUGAGUAACACGUGGAUAACCUACCUAUAAGACUGGGAUAACUUCGGGAAACCGGAGCUAAUACCGGAUAAUAUAUUGAACCGCAUGGUUCAAUAGUGAAAGACGGUUUUGCUGUCACUUAUAGCUGGAUCCGCGCCGCAUUAGCUAGUUGGUAAGGUAACGGCUUACCAAGGCGACGAUGCGUAGCCGACCUGAGAGGGUGAUCGGCCACACUGGAACUGAGACACGGUCCAGACUCCUACGGGAGGCAGCAGUAGGGAAUCUUCCGCAAUGGGCGAAAGCCUGACGGAGCAACGCCGCGUGAGUGAUGAAGGUCUUCGGAUCGUAAAACUCUGUUAUUAGGGAAGAACAAAUGUGUAAGUAACUAUGCACGUAUUGACGGUACCUAAUCAGAAAGCCACGGCUAACUACGUG